AUUGAACGCUGGCGGCAGGCCUAACACAUGCAAGUCGAGCGAGCGGCGGACGGGUGAGUAAUGUCUGGGAAACUGCCUGAUGGAUGGGGAUAACUACUGGAAACGGUGACUAAUACCGCAUACCAUCAGAUGUGCCCAGAUGGGAUUAGCUAGUAGGUGGGGUAACGGAGCACCUAGGCGACGAUCCCUAGCUGGGCUGAGAGGAUGACCAGCCACACGGGAAUUGAGACACGUUCCAGACUCCGACGGGAGGCAGAAGUGGGGAAUAUUGGACAAUGAGGGAAAGCCGGAGGCGGAACUGCCGGGUGUGGAAAAAGGUCUUUGGGGUUUUAAGGUAGUUUCAGCGGGGAGGCGUUACCCGAAGAAGAAGCACCGGCUAACUCCGUGCCAGCAGCCGCGGUAAUAC
rnacentral:rRNA from 1 species